rnacentral:rRNA from 1 species
UACGUAGGGUGCAAGCGUUAAUCGGAAUUACUGGGCGUAAAGCGUGCGCAGGCGGUUUUGUAAGUCGUGUCGUGAAAGCCCCGGGCUCAACCUGGGAAUUGCAUUCGAGACUGCAUGGCUAGGGUGCGGAAGAGGGAAGCGGAAUUUCCGGUGUAGCGGUGAAAUGCGUAGAUAUCGGAAGGAACACCAGUGGCGAAAGCGGCUUCCUGGUCCCAGCACCGACGUUCAGGCACGAAAGCGUGGGGAGCAAACAGG